rnacentral:antisense_RNA from 1 species
CACUCAGCGGGGCAGGCGCCAGGCGCCGGUCGGGGAUUGGAACAGGGCCGACCACGUGCCUGUUGAGGAAGCGCCAGGGGUCGAAUGUCGGGGGACAUUCGACCCCUUUUUU